UACGAGGGGGGCAAGCGUUGUUCGGAAUUAUUGGGCGUAAAGGGCGCGUAGGCGGUGCGGUAAGUCACCUGUGAAAACUCUGGGCUCAACUCAGAGCCUGCAGGCGAAACUGCCGGGCUAGAGUCCGGAAGAGGUGAGUGGAAUUCCUGGUGUAGCGGUGAAAUGCGCAGAUAUCAGGAGGAACACCGAUGGCGAAGGCAGCUCACUGGGACGGUACUGACGCUGAGACGCGAAAGCGUGGGGAGCAAACAGG
rnacentral:rRNA from 1 species